rnacentral:rRNA from 1 species
GUUAUAGGAUCAAGCGACUAAGUGCAUAUGGUGGAUGCCUUGGCGAUCACAGGCGAUGAAGGACGUAGUAGCCUGCGAAAAGCUACGGGGAGCUGGCAAACAAGCUUUGAUCCGUAGAUGUCCGAAUGGGGAAACCCACUCCGUAAGGAGUAUCCCUGGCUGAAUACAUAGGCCAGUGGAAGCGAACCGGGUGAACUGAAACAUCUCAGUAGCUCGAGGAAAAGAAAUCAACCGAGAUUCCGAAAGUAGUGGCG